rnacentral:misc_RNA from 1 species
GAAAGAAAUAUGCCAAGCACUGGCAUCUGGUUCUUUAGCGAGGAAUAUAUAAAUGUAUUGUGUAUAUGUAAAAACCUCAUUGAUUUUGAUUGAUAACGAAUUGUGCAAUUAAAGCUUGAGAGUUGCAAUGAAUUGGAAUAAAUACUAUAAUCAUUGCUGGCCAAAACUUGAUCACAGAUCUUGCUUUCUAUGCACUGGUCAUCAG